UUUUUUUUUUUUUUUUUUUUCCUCCUUUCUUCCUUUUAAUGUUGUGUGUGAACUGUGAAGUAAAGUGGAUAGGUUUCGUGUGUAGCGUUGAUUAAGUAACCAUCUUAUCAAUGUCAGCAGGUGAGGUGAGGUGUGGUGAAGAGAUACCUUACUUUAUAAAGAUACCAUACUACCUUUUUUGAUAGAUUGAAUACUUGGCUUUAUGAUGAAUAUAACAAGGAAGGAGUGGAGUAAUCAAUCUAAGAUCCUCUCUUUCUCUCUUUUUCUCUGUAUUCAUAUUCAUAGGAUAUAUAAUCCCAUCAAUUCAAUUAUUUUGCUUUGUGGGUUUGCGUCUGUUUGUAGCUCUGUACACCUACCUGUCUACUUGCAUGCUUAUCAGUUAAGUUGUUCUUUUUUUCCCCCUCACCUCUCUUCUUCUCACUUUGCUCAAUAUGUACAUCUAUAUAUAUCUGUCAGUCUGUCUUACUGCAUGUCUUUCAAUUAUUUGUUUGUAUUUACAAGAAACUUCAAGAGAUCUACACAGUCUUUAAUUCACACAUUGAUGUAUAUCAUGCAUGCAUGAAUCAUAAAUGAAUGCAUGAGAUGUGUGUAUAUAUAGAAGGAGAAUUGAGUGCAGGUGGAGUUGCAGAGCAACUAACACAACUUCUAAAAGGAAGGAAGGGGAAAGAAUCUGGUUUGAGCAAAAGCAGGCAAAGUUGGACAGGAAAAACCUUAAUUGAAAACUUUCAUGGUUUUGUUCAUGAGACAAAAGGCAUAAAUUAGGGUAAUAUGGCAUACUUUAUUAGAAUAAUAGACAGUUGAUCCAACAACAAUACAUAUUCUUAAGAAGGAUAUUUUGUUUAGUUAUAAAAAACAAGAACCCUUAUGUCGGCAUUUAAUUCCUUUUCUUUCUUUAUUGGAAGCACAAGCAAGUACCUUUGUCCAAACAAGGCAUGUAAGGCCACUCAUUCUUUACAAUUAACAAAUGUUUAUUGAGAAAAUCUUCAACUAAUCAGCUAACCAACAAAAUCUUAAUUUGGAUAGAGGAACCUUUCUUCUCUCCUCUCUUUAUGAUGUGAAUAUGCUCUACUUCUACAUUCAAGUCAAUGAAUCAAACUCAUUACUCAUACAUACAUACAUAUACAAACAAUCCUAAUGAAAAAGAAUGAACAAGAAGAUAAAUGCUAAAGUAAAUAUAAGUGAAUCACAAUUCACACAUUCAAAUAAAGAAAACUUAAAAAUGAAGUUGACAAAAGAAACUAAGAAAGACAAGACAAGCAUGUGGAACACAAGAACUGGUAGUUAAAUAGUUCAUGGAAUGUGCCUUGUGUACUAAAUUACUUUUUUGUGAUCAAUUGAAGAUUCCAAACCACAAACUUAUUGCUACCUUUAAAAUUAAAGUUGGAAGAAGAUAUAUAAUAUUGUUCAAGAAAAGUACUAUACGAUAUAUAUAUUAUGUUUUUAUAUAAGAAAGACAAAACCCUAAACAAAUGAUCAAAUUAAAUUAAAUUAAACCCUAAACCACCCACCCAAUACACCUUUUGAUCAAUUCUAAUAUCCUCACCAUCUACAAAUUCAAAGAAAUGCUUGAAUAAUGAGAAGAGGAAGCUAGAAUUAAGAUCAUCAAAUAGAAGUGGUCUUAAUGAUAUAUCAAUAGUAAGUAGAGGUACUUUUAAGUUUUAACUACUAAUGCCAUGAAGAAACUGAGAAGAGGGCAUGGUUUUGCCAACCUAGAAACAAGGAAUCAUUGAGUAUGUGAAGCUGAUAACCUUCAGAAGGAUAAUGAAGCCUUAGAAGAAGCUUUGCUUGUGCAACUGCGAAAGGGCUUAACGGUACAUUGGAAAACCCUGAUCUCCUCAUCUUCUCAGCCCAAUUUUGAAACCUCUCAUACCUUUCUUUCCUUUCCUCUCCUUCUGCAGACACCACAUCCACAAUCUCUCUUCCAAGCCAAACUUGCUCUAUUGCAAGUCUCUCAGUGUUAUUAGGCGGUAACGUCGCUUCCAUGGAAUCAAACAAGGCUGUGUAAUGGUCCAAUGCCUCCAGGAACCUUUGUGAGAAAAGGGGAUUGUUGAGAUUAGCUUCUCUUUCUGCCAAAGUCACAACCUUUGGAUUCAUGGCCUUUAUAGUGUGAAGAAACAAUCUGACUUCAUAAUCAUCAUCAUUCCUAUUAAGAAGCCUAUGCAGGUAAAGCACACAAUUGACAACAAGUGUUUCUUCCUGCAGUAGAGUGAUGGAGGAUGAGAGUUGUAGAGCUACAGAAGUAGAAUCAAGAAGAAGAAGAGGAUGAAAAUGGAAUCUGAGACCAAGCGAUUUCGCAAAAUUCUCAAGCCGUUGUCCAGUUCUUGCCAGUGUUUCUAAGUCAUAACCUAUACCAGUUAUUCGAAUCAUAUUUGGGGGAUUAGACCUCUCAGCAAUGGCUUGCAUUAAAGGGGGCCAUUGCACUCCUUGCAUGAUUGUGUCGAAAUCAAGUAUGUGAAUCGAUUCUUGCCCUUCAAUGGCUUCUAAGAUAGCUUGGUUAGCAGUUAAGUGACUAAACCUUAUGAAUGGAGUAACUUGAUUUAAACAGAUGAAAGAAGAUUGUAACUGAUGAUGAAGUAAUGCUUCUUCUUCCUCCACCACUUCCAAUUCAAGCAAUGUCAAUCCACUACUAGUACUACUACUAGCAACACUUGCAGGAGGAAGAAAAUGAGGAUGAGGAACACAUGAUGAUAAUGAAGGGGUAGUACUACUAAUCAUAGAUGCUGAAGCACGGUUUAGCCUAAUGGUAAGAGCUCUAACAAAUUGGUGAACCAACCUCUCAGUAGAGUCACCAUGAGGUGAAGACGUGGAAGAUAAGAAGGAAACUAGACGGUGGGCAGCAGAGAAAUUGGACUGCGAGAGGAAGUCUGCGCAAGUUAUGAGCAAUCGACGCAUUUGAGCUGCCGAGGAAGGUGGAUUCUGGCCUUGUUGUUGUUGAUCUGAUGAGGAAACUACUGUUAAUACUGGUGGUGGUGGUUGUGGUGUUGAUAAUGGAAUGUUGUAGAGAGUGGAGUCUUCAGCCAUUACUCAUACAAAAGACAAGCUUUUAGGGUAUUUGAAUAGUAGUGUUGGUCAUGCAGACACAAAAGCUAAGAAGCUGGGGAAAAAUUUACAGACAAGUUUCACUAGCUAGGAUCUUAUGAUGUUGUUGAAAUGUAUUAAAGGAUUCAAAUCUGAAAGCAUUUGUAUUUUGUAGAGAGAAUGUUUAGAUUUGUUUUCAUUGUAUUUAUUUUCCCUAUUUAGGUCAGAAAAAGCCAUCAUUUUUCACAUUAAUGCAUCAAUAAGUUUAAAUAGAUUUAAUUUUUUUUUUUCCUAUUUUUGGGUUUGGAAAAAUUAUUUUGAUUAUAAUAAUUGAGCCAAAUUGUGGGAUCAACAACCAAGAUCUAAUGGUUUAAUACAUAAAAUUUAAUUAGCAAUUGAGACAAAGUAGUAAUUAAGUGAUGUGUCUGUUAAUCUAUUAUAUGCCCUGAGUGCACCUAGAACUUUCAAAUUGUGGCCCUAUCUCAGUAUGGUUCAAUACCUGGAAACUCAGAUUCAGUCCCGGCCAGAAGCCAAUCAACUCAAAAUCCACAGUUGAGCCUGACAAGGUGAAAUGCUCGGAUGUGGACCACUAAGUAGGCAAAUCGACUGCUAAAUAAUGAACGACACAACGGGGCAAAUAUACAUGCACAAUACAUUAUAUUUUCAUUAUCAAGUCUUGUAUAGAUGCAUUGUAAUGAUGUUCAUGAAUCAUGUUGGUACUAACUAGCUCAAAUUCCUUAAUGGCCAAAUAAAUGCUAUGGAUUAUUCUUGAAAGAAGGCUAGGGGAUGAUAUGUUGAUAACCUCAUACAGUAGUAAUUUUUAAUCAUUUUGGUUUUGGUUGUGAUCAAAAGGAUAGGACUAAUGUACCAAUAGCAUGGACAGUCCCUAGUUAUGAGGAUUUCCUACACUACUACUACUACUAAUUUGGGAUCACCAAUGUAUUAGAAUUGAACUUUACUGACUGUACCGACAAAAUUAAAUGAUAUGUGGCAAUUAGGUAAUGCACCUGAAUUAAAAACGAAUCUGUAAUUUCUGACCUUUUUGUUUUAGAUGGUCCAAUGCCUAUGAAGCUAUGACUAUGAGAGUCUAGAAAUUUAAUAUUUCAACAAAAAAUUGAACAAUCUGUUAUGUAUCAAGGUACUCAAAAUUUUCUGUUAUGGCCAAGCCAUAUCAAUUGAGCUCGAACCCAGCCGAGUCCUCUGAAAUCCUGAGGAGGACUCUUGAUUGGUUAUCGAGAAAAACUUCAUCCAUAGUGCCUAGGAGGAGUGUGAAGUGUUCUCCUACGCAUCUAUCCACCAUACAUAUUAAGCAUCUAUGUAAAUCUUGAGAACCAUCGCUACCAUAGAUAGUCUGUUUAUCCACUGGUAGAUACUAGGAGAGUGUUUGCUCCUAAGCUCUAUGGAAUGAAGCUUGAGAGGGUCUUCCUAAGCUUCACUCCAUAAAGCUUGAGAGGGCCUUUGAAUCGGACUUAAUCCGUAUGUCAGAUAAUAUUGAUUGAUCUUCCACGAAAAUAGAAUGAAUUAAUGAAAUGGGAUUUUUUCAAACAAAGCAGCUGAUCGAAACUGGUGGAAGCAGCCAGAAUAUCAGAAACGCAAUUGGCCCAAUCACAUGGAGUCGUGUCUCUCAAGCUCUAUGUAAGCUUGGUGGAACUGACCACCACAGUUUCUUUGUAAAUUUCUAGAUAAUGAUAGUAGAGGACUUAUGUAUGAAUUUUAGUUUCUAUCAAAAAAAAAAAAAAAAAAAACACCACAAAACUACAAAAGACAUUUCUAACAGAUCUCAUUUUGAAAGGUCCAUCAUAUUCAUAUAUAUACAUAAGAAACCCCAGACAAUAAAUCAACCCGCCCAGCCCGAUAACCUUGUGAUGAGGAUGGUUAAUGAGGCAAAAGAUUAAGGCUUUGCAGGAUCUCAGGCUCCUUGGCUAUACUAAGAGCUACUAUCAUAAUUUUAAUCAUUUUGGUUAACAUUGAUCUUUGCUUGUUUAUCAAUCAAGCAAAUUAAUUGGCUACUAUCCAAAUUAAGAACACAGACAAAAUCAGUUUCAAUUUAAAGAAACUUCAGGCACAAAGAAACAAAAUCAGUUCAUGGCAGCAUUGGCAUUGCCAAAUAGAGAUUUCACCAACUACAACCACUAUCACCACCCCAACCACAGCUACAACGUGGUUCCUAAUUUCCACCGCGUACUUGCCAUGCUAAUCUCAAGACCUUCUUUCAAUAUAUACCCAUCCUUUCAUCACUCUUCUCACUCAACACAAGCUCACAACUUGAACAAGUGAAGAAUGGCUCAUCUUGCAAUCACCAGCGUUCUUUUGAUGUUUGUACUAGCCUUCGCAGAGGCAUCAAUGUACCAGACCAUCAUCAAACCAACCGAAGUCGAUGAACCAAAUACCUCUGAAAGGUGCCGUAGGCAGCUUAGAUUCGUCAGGAUGGACUCUUGCAGGCGUUACAUAUAUCCAUACAUGCUAUUUCCCCGUGUUCCCCCUGGUAGUGGACAAGGGUGCUGCCGAGAGUUGCGACAGGUGAAUGAUCCCCAAUGCAGGUGUGAGGUACUCAGACAGACUGUUCAAAGAGUUCCAGGUUUUGGACAGCAACAACAAGAAGUGGUGAGGAAGGUGCAACAACUGGCCCCAGAAUGUAGGAUGCCAGAGCUGCAGUAUUGCCAAAUCCGCGGCCAAUGGGGAUUUUAGAUGGCUAGUGUUGUCUGUUAAUAAAAGUCACCCUACCGUCCAAGCAUGUGUAACUUGUAAGUGCUAAAUAAUAAGCACAUUGUCGUGUGUUUUGUAGGACGACAUAAGUAAUAAAACAUGGCGAUUUUCUUUAUAAAUAAAACUUCAACAAAAAAUUGAACAAUAAUCUGUUAUGUAUCAAGCUACUCAAAAUUUUCUGUUUUCCCCAGGCAAUAGCACUUAAGCUUGAACCCAGCCAAGUCUUCUGAAAGCCCUGAGGACUCUUGAUGGGUUAAACGAAAAAACUUUGCUCCAUAGUGUUUAGGAGGAGCGAAGUGUUCUCGUACGAUCUAUGUAAAUCAUCGCUACAAUGGAUGCUUAUCCAUUAAACAGAUACUUAGGAGCAUCUAUGGAGUGAAGUUUAAGACUUGAGAGGGCAGUAGAAUGGCCCUUUGGACCCGGACCUUCGAUGAAUGGAAUGGAACGAAAUGAAAUGAAAUUGUCAAGUGCUAUAGGCAAGAAUGGGAAAGCUACAAAUAAUUCUUAUAGAUCGUUCAAAGCCAUCGAAAACUACCAUCCUCAAACCCAUCUAACUACUGUACAUACAACUAAAUUUAAUCGAAUACAGGAUUUUUUUUUCAAACAAAGCACCACAAAAGGGACUUCUAACGGAUCUAUUAUAUAACAAACCCCAGACAAAAUCAAUCCGCCCAGCCUCAUGACCGACAACUGGUCCAGAGAGAGAAGACUUCUCUCGGUGUGAUGAGGAUGGUUAUUGAGGCAAAAGAUUAAGGCUUUGCAGGUUCUCAGAUUCCUUGGAUAUGCUUAGAGCUAGAAAAAACAAAGGAAAGAAAGAUCGCUAAACUGUUGGUUCAUGGUCAUCUUUAAUCCCACAGAAAUAGACACUCUUAUUGUUUUCCUACUGAAAGCACUCUCUUUGAAUUAUAUACUUCCAAUGAUAAUAGACAGCAUAGUUUAAAACGAUUUUGAAUCCUGGAAAAAGGUAUAUGCCGAGAUUUCGACACUAAAAAAAAAUUUGGAAUCUGAGUAUUCGGGAAUAUUCGCAGAUAUUUAUAUAUCCGAUUUCUCAAAUCUCGGCAUAAUUCGUGGGAUAUCCGCGGAUAUCCCCAAUAUUUUAAACUAUGAUAGACAGUACACUAGUACUGUGAAAAUUACAAAGUAAGACCACAAAGAAUCCUGGGCAAGUUUAUGAGGGUAAUAAAGAAAUUAUGAGCCUGAUCAGUGAUGACUGCCUAGCUAAGCUGAAAAGAUUAACACCAAGCUGACCAAGGCCAAUUUCACAAGCUUUUUUUGCCAGUUCUUGGCAUCUGCCAAGAUGAGCAGGUGAUCAAUAAGCAAUUAGCCAUUGGUGAUGCUCCCGCUAACUGCUUACUUAAAGUGAAAUUUUCAAAUAAAACUGGACUGGUUAUUAAGAAUUUAAGAUUAUGUUCAUGUCCAGCGCUUGAAACUCGUAAUGCAAAAUAUGGCCUAAAUUGACCCGUUGCUUUUAGAGACUUGUUUGGAAAUGCUCUAAUCUAUAAUGCUUCCAGUAAAUAUCUUGAAACAAAAGAGCCAAAAGAGGGAAAAAAAAACACAAACUAACACUUCAUUUCAACCUUGAUAAUAAAAUCUUGGUUCAACUUGCAGUAUAAGCAAGCGAACAUACUUCCUAUAUUUGAAAGCAAGCAAACAUGAAACAAGGCUCCUACUCACGAAUAAUAGAACUCAACAGACUUAAACUGAGCUAGUGCAAGGCUUGGAGUUUACUGUGGAUUAGGUGGGCGACUAUUGGCAGCAGAGACCCUGGAACCCCAUUCAAGCAGCUCUUUGCUUGUAUCAUCCUUGUGACAGAUCACCUCUAUGAAGCACAAGCAAUCCUUCUUUUCCCCUGUUGCAGUCUCAAUAGCUUCCACCAGAUCUUCCUCGCAGCGAACCUGCAACCACCAUAAUCAGUCAACUGCUUACAACCUCAUUACUACAAUAAGCUCGAUAUAUAUAAAAAAAAAAAAAACACUUAGAGGUUACUAUUCCAAAUCCUACCUUAGCCGUCCAGCAUUUGCCUUGACCAUUGUGGAUUGCCUCUACAAGCCCAGUGUAGUUCCAGUUCUUAAUCACAUUGUAAGGUCCAUCAUGGAUCUCCACCUCUAUUGUAUAUCCACCAUUGUUUAUUAAGAAGAUAAUAGUGUUUUGUCCACAUGUCAACAUUGUUGAAAUAUCCUGGGCUGUCACCUGUCAACCAAAUAUCAGUCAGUUCCCACAUAGAAACAGAGCCAUUACAUAUAAGAGUUAUUGAAUAAUCUUGAUUAUUACCUGAAAACUUCCAUCCCCAAUGCAGGCAAUCACUCGUUUAUCUUUUGCAGCCUGUGCAUAACCAAGUGUUGCUCCAACUGACCAUCCAAUUGAUCCAUAUUGCAUCUGAAACUCGUACCUAUACAAUCGCACAUUGUUAUUCUUCAGGCAAUGAUCUUACUAAUGUAUGAAGCUGAAGUUAUAAGUUUAUACAAGUCAAGUCAGUUAACAGAAAAUGUUUGCUUACCCACAGCCUUUAGGCAGUUUCAGUUUUUGGCAGUUAAACCAGGAAUCUCCAGUCUCAGCAAUCACAGCAGUAUCACCUGAAAGCAUUGCUUGAAUAUGCUUAAACAAGAUAUUAACCCUUAUAGGCUCCUGAGGAGCACACUUAAGAGGAAUUCCAUCUGGUACAUAUAUUCGGUGAUAAUUCUCAUAAGCGGUUGGAUUGGGUUUAAGCCUCUUCGCGAGUGCACUUAGGAAAUCUUUCAUCAAAAUGCAUCCAAAUGAAGGGCCAUUGGCAAUGACCACUCGGUCAGGAUGAACAAUAAUUGCUUUCUCCUUCUUGAGUAGUAGCGAGUAACCGACUGAGCUGUAAUCGUUAAAAAUAGGCCCUGCAAACAGGUAAGCAUCAGCUGAUUCCACAAUUUCAGCACAAAAUGCUGUACUCACAGCACCCCAGUAGGUUCCUAUGAACCUUGGGUGGUUCUCAGGAACAAACCCUUUGGCUGAUGGCAUCACUGAAACUGGAUAACCACAAGCAUCUGCUAAUUCAACAAAGGCAUUACAAGCCUUGGCCACGCGAAGUUUUGGCCCACCAACCAGAACCGGCUUCACUGCCUUAUUCAAGAACUCUGCUGUGGCCUCCACAGCUGCUUCAAGACCCAUCUUAUUGCUCAAUCUGCAGAACAAUCCCUCCGUGAUUAAUAUUUCUUUAAUCUUAAUGAUUUAAACAUGAAUAAAGAACAUUUGCAGAAAAAUUUACCUAGGAGUUAAGACGAAUGGAACGGGUUCCCGACUGAAGGAAGGAUGUGGGAUUGAAGGCAAAUUACAACUGACACUGAUAUAAACAGGCUUGCUUUCUUUCAAAGCAGUAGAUAUAGCUGUAUCAAUCUGCUCAUGUGCGUCUUCCAAAUUGUUAACCACAGCCUACACCAAUUCAACAAAACACAAACCACAAUCAUCAAAAUCACUAAAUACCCAAUGCACAAUUCUUCCUAAAAUAUACAAAAUUGCACUAAUAAUCACCAAAACCAACAAAAACCCUCAUAUAAAUUCUUGAUUAAAACAUCAAAACAACACUCAAAACAGAGAUUUCUAAAGUGGGUAAUACUGCAAAAAUACCUGAUAACAAGUGACAGUCUGAAAGCAACGAAGUUCUUGGCUAAAAUCAGGUAAUCCAAUAGUAUGAUGAAGAAUUCUAUUGGUUCCAUAAUCAUUGGUAUUAGGACCACCAACAAUACAAAUAAGUGGAAGAUUUUCACUAUAAGCACCAGCAAUAGCAUUAAGAACACUAAGACCACCAACAGUAAAAGUAACAACACAAGCACCAACACCACGAGAUCGAGCAUAACCAUCAGCAGCAUAACCAGCAUUAAGUUCAUUACAACAACCAAUAUUAUUCAAACCUGGUUCAGCAAUAAGAUGAUCAAGUAAAGUCAAGUUAAAAUCACCAGGAACAGAGAAUACAUCAUUUACACCAACUUGAACCAAUCGACGAGCUAAAUGUCGACCCAGUGUUGAUUCAACCGAUCCAAUUGGAACAACAGAGUUUUGAACAGUUGAAACAGUUCCAUUAUGAGGUAAACAACCUACAUCAUGUGUUGUAGGAUUGUUUGAGUCAAGAAGAAUCUUGGUUUCCAUUAAAAAAAAAAAACUAAAAUAUGGGUUUUGAAGAGAAAAUGAAGAAGUGAAAUGGGUUUUUCUUGGUUUUAAGAGGUUUAAGAGAGAUUUUAGGAUUUUUUUGUGAUUUAAGAGUAAAGGUAGGGGUUGAGAAUUUAUAGUUUGUUCUUUUUCUUGAGAAGAAAGAAGAAGCGAGAUUCCUGAAACCAGGGGCGGUUAUUUUACUAAAUAGUAAAUACUAAGCGGUGUUCUGGGAUUAUUCUAGAGGAAUUUUUGUUGACUCAUUUUGACAUGUUUAGUAUAGUAAUUGCAUUUGAUUAGGAGUCUAAUAAAAAAAUUUAUAUUAUAGUUUGUAAUAAUGAAAAUAUUCUGGAAAUUUUGAGUAUUGAUCAGCUGGCAAAUAAUUUACUUGAGAUCCAAGAAUUCUAUAUUUUGGAAAUUAAAAGUUUUAAUCAAAUAAUAUUGUCACCUGACAAAAAAAAAAAAAAAAAAAAAAACCCAGGUCUCAUGACCAUUGGUUGUGAAUAUGUCCAUAUGUAUUGAUGAUUUGGUUUCAUUUUAAUUUACAAAUAAAUCAUACUUAAUUAAGUAGCUAAUGAUAAAAUGUACCACAAUGCUUACUUACUUAAUUGUACAAGUUAGAAGCCUUUGUCCUGUAUGGCUUCUCCUGAAUCACAACUUAAUUAAAUAGUUUGAAUUUUUGGUAGAAAGUCUAGUGUUGGAACUUGGAUGACUAUUCUUGUAGAGUCGUAGUCUUGCAUUGCAUCUCUCUGUGACCACCAAAGACACAAAAAAGCUGACCACUGUUUUAAUUUUCUUCCAUGCAGGUAAGCAGGUUGUUCUGGACUUAUAUUGGUUGAAUGGUCGGCCGCACAGCUUCAAAAUUGUACAAUCUGCUAAACACCUAGAGUUGGGCUUAGGAAUUCGUUAACACCUACACCAGUGUUCACCCAGAAGAAAAACGACCAUGGCAGAAGAACACAACAAAUCUAAUUAUGUGUAUUAGUAGAUGUCACUUAAUACUUGACCUUGGUUGUCACCAUGGUAUUACUCUAAUAGUCUAAUUUUAAAAAAAAAAAAAAAAGCACUGAUACUCAAUUGUCUGAUAUUAAGAAGCAUUAUUGUUUAGUGGGUAAAAAAGAUUAAUUAAUCUAAUCAAAAAUAUCUAAUGUUUGGUCAUUGCAAUUACAGGGUUCACGCAUCAGUUCAACUUCCACAUGUCACAACUCACAAGUGGAAAACAAUAGUAUGUAUGAUGGUUUUUGAAUAUUGGUUUCUAGUUCUCAAGUUUCAUAUUGCAAGUUUUGGCUUAUUUUAAGCAGAAAUUUAAGGAACAAAGAAUAAACCUUUACAACUACCACCAGCGUCCCUUGGUUUAGGUUCUGGUUUUGUAAAUUAAUUUUUUUUUGCUAAAGAUAUUUAUAAAUUAAUUAAUUAAAAAUGGUAAUAAGCACCUUUUAUUAUUAUUAAUUAAUAUAAGCCCAUAGGACAAGUAGUGUGUCUAAUAAGAUGUUCUAAGUGGCUAAGGGCAUCUCUAAUGGUUGGGCAAAUUUGAUGGUCCACGUAUACACAUUUGAUGAUAGUUUGAUGAAAAUUUUGCUUUGAAAAUGUGCUCCAUCUAAUGGUUCAUCAACUAAAGCGGCUAAUGGAUGACCGCUUCACUAAAGCGGGCCUCCAACACCCACUUCACUUAGUUAAAGCGGCUAAUGGAUGACCGCUUCACUAAAGCGGGCCCCCAACACCCGCUUCACUUAGUUAAUGGGGCUGUCCAAGUGCCACUUAGUUAAAGCGGGCUUUGAAGUGCCACUUUAAGCGGCACUUCAUUAGCCGCUUUAAGUGAAACGGUCUUCUCUUGCCCGCCUCACCCAGUAUCAAACCUUAAGCUUUUCAUCAAAAUUUCAUCAAAUUUGAUGAACUUUUGAUGAUUUUUGCUAAAAUAUCAAAUUUGAAAAAGUUUUGAUGGUCCAUUAGAUGGAGUUUUUUUGACUUUUUCAUCAAAUUUGAAUUUGAUGAUAGAUUUGAUGAACCAUUAGAGAUGCCCUUAUGAUAACCACAUAGUACUACUCUACUACAGGUCCUAAUAUGGUUCAUAUAUAUGGUGCAAAUUCCAAACUUGAAAGCGUGUCUCUAAACACAAAUCUUGAAUGAAAAUUUUCUCUGUGACCAACGUAAUUAAUCGAAAUAUCCAAACACAAAAUUUGACUGACUUUAUGCAUAAUUCAUGCCAGUUUUUUCCUUGGAAUUUCAUGCAAUUCCCAUGAAAGUUAUUGAUAAUUGAUUCAUUCAUCAUCCUAUAUAUAUAUAUAUAUAUAUAUAUAUAUAUAUAUAUAUAUAUAUAUAUAUAUAUAUAUAUAUAUAUAUAUAUAUAUAUAUGACUGAUAAUGAAAGAAUACUCGAAUUGCUUAAAUAUCAGUUUGAUUUGGUGAUUGAUUUAUGCAUUUUGAUAUUGAAGUAGUUACUAACUUAGAGCAUCUCUAAUGGGUCUGCUAUAUUUAGCCUACACAUGGGACGAUUUAGCCUCCACGUCGGUGCCACCUCCUUUCCUAUCGCUUUUUUUAGCAGGUCUUCCAUACCUAUAUCAAGGGUAUCCCUAACGCGUUUCCUAUUUUUUUUUCUAAAUUUUUAUCUUCCACGCUGGUUGGACCAGCGUGGAAAUUUUUUUCUCUUCCACGCUGGUCCAACCAGCGUGGAAUACUUGGGCUUUGCAUGUUGGGCUUGGGGCUGAUCUGUAAGAUGUUCCACGCUGGUUCAACCAGCGUGGAACUUUAAUUCAAUCUCAACCUUAAACGAACAGCAACAGCACCUUCUUCUCCAUCUUUCCAUCUUUCCGCCGCCGCCAUUCUUCUUCCUCUUCCGCCAUUUUCAACUUCGACCAUCUCGAUUUUGCUACUUCUACUUCUUCCUAUUGCCAAAUUACACAACCACUUAGCCAUCUUUUGUUAUUUUCUACUUCUUCCCCUCCAUUUCAUUCAUUCAUUCUCUCCAAUUCAUUCAUUCUCUCCAAUGACUUCUUACGAUCGACAUCUUGAAAUUUUGAACCAACAACGCUAAUUGCUUAUGGACUCAUCUGAUGAUGAAGAUCUUAGCACAAGGCAUAUCAAUCGUCUGCUUCCAGCUAUUUCGGCUUCUUUGGAAGAAGAAGAAAAUGUAGAAAACAUACCAAGAUGGGGAGGUUCUAAAUUUGGUCGAGCAGCUAACAGGCGUGACCAUGUUCAAUCACACAACAUGCUUAUCAACGAGUAUUUUGCAGCCCAACCUGUUUUUGGUGCAAAACUUUUUCGACGUCGUUAUCGUAUGAGGCAGAAUGUUUUUUUGAAGCUGUAUAACGCAGUUGUUGAAAAUAAUGACUAUUUUUACCAGAAAUACGAUGCUCUAGGUGUUCCUGGACCUUCUGGCCUAAUUAAAGCGACAUGUGCACUUCGCCUUCUCUCUUAUGGGUGUCCAGCUGAUUCUCUUGAUGAGUCAAUCAAAAUAGGUGAGCAAACUGCACUCAAUUCUCUGAAGCAUUUUUCUCAAACUGUUGUCGACAUUUUUGAGAACGAGUAUUUGAGGACACCCACUCCAGCUGAUGUCGAACGUCUGCUUGCUAAAGGAGCUCAACGAGGGUUUCCAGGUAUGUUGGGAUCCAUUGAUUGUAUGCAUUGGAUUUGGAAGAACUGUCCUACAGCAGAACAUGGACAACAUAUGGGACACCAUAAGAAAGCUACUGUUAUUUUGGAAGCUGUUGCAGAUCAUGAGCUUUGGAUAUGGCACGCCUUUUUUGGAACGGCAGGUAGUUGCAACGAUCUCAAUGUCUUAGAAAACUCUCAUGUUUUUGAUGAUAUGGUAAAUGGCAGAUCGCCUCCUUGCAACUACCAGGUGAAUGGGAAUGAUUAUAAUAUGGGAUACUAUCUUUCUGAUGGUAUCUACCCACAGUGGGCUACUCUUAUUCAAACAGAGAGAUUUCCAGGGACGCGAAAGAAGAAAGUGUUUGCCAAAGCCCAAGAAGCUGUCAGAAAAGAUGUUGAGCGUGCAUUUGGUGUUUUGCAGGCUAGAUUUGCCAUGGUUGCAAGACCAGCACGUACCUGGAACAAGGCACAGCUUGGUAUAUUUAUGAAGGCAUGUUUGAUAAUGCAUAACAUGAUUAUUGAAGAUGAGAGGGAUAUUGUUCUUCCAAAGUGGAAGCCCCCUCGUGAUGAGCCUCCAUUACCUGUAAUAGUGGAGUUACAAUCAAACGAUGUGGAUGAGGUUAGAGACAUGCUUCAUCGCAUUUGUGCUGUCAGAAGUGGUCCUGCACAUGACUUAUUGAUGCAUGAUUUGAUCGAGCAUAUAUGGCAACGUCAUGGAGGCAAUGAAGAUUUGGAUUGAUUGCUGUAGUUUUUCAGUGUUUGAGUUUGUGUUUGAUUUUGAAUUUGUGUUUGAGUUUUUGUUUGAGUCCAUGUUAGUUUGUGUUUGAGUCCAUGUUAGUUUCUUGUGUUGUGUUUGAAAAGAUGAGCUUAAUGUUAUAUUAAGAAAUUUCAUAUUUUAUAAUUGCUAAUAGUACAAAACAUAUUAAACUAAGGCCCAUACUAGUACAAAACAUAUAAAAUCUAAGGCCCAUAAUAGUACUAAACAUAUAAAAACUAAGGCCCAUAACCUCCACUAGGCCCAAAACCAGGUUGGGGCCCAAAACCUCCACUAGGCCCAAAAUCAUCUGGCGCAUAAGGCCUAUAGCCAAAAGGUACAAAACCAGUAGGCCUACUUGGAAUACCUUGCUGAAAAGAAGUAGGAGCAAAUGGAGUACCCGUAAAAUCAUUCUGUGAGGAAGGCCCAUUUGGAUCGUCUGGGGAUGCAGUCCACGUAGGAGAGAAGUCAUUGAUCUGUUUGUGACGCCUAUCAAAGAUUGCUUUCUGCAUCUCUUCAAAGUAUUGUUUGCGGAUAGGGUUAGAAAUUUUUUCAGUGUCUAUCAUCAUGAUAUUGGCUUCUCUUUCUACUCUUCUUUCUUCAUUUAGUCGUGCAUUUUCUACUCUUUCUACUCUUCUUUCUUCAUUUAGCCGUGCCUUUUCUUCUUCCAUCUGCUGGUACAUCUUCAUCUUCAAGUCCCAAUUGGCUUGUUUUAGAGCCAACUCUGCGGACGUUGUUUCAUUGACCUUUGUCAGUUGAGCUGUGUACUCGGCCCUAGAAGAACUACCAUCUCCCCCUGAAGUAGAUGAUUGUCGUGUUAGCUUUCUUUUUUCUUUGGCAGUUUUUCUUCCAGUUGGUCGCGCUGGUGGUGGUACUGGACCAUCCCCAAUGUUGAGAAAAACAUUUGGUGUAACCCCAACAUUAGUUCUACCUUCUGGAAAUUCAUUUGGGGAGUCGUCAUCACUGAGAUGGAUGUUCUGUUGGCUACGAGCAUAUGAAGCUGGAGUAUCAUCGCCCAGAUUGAUGUUCUGCAUGUUCCGAACAUUUGAAGUUGGCGUGUCGUUUGAAGCACCAGUAAACUCCGAGGAUGUGUUUGAUUUCUGCUUCUUAAAUGCAUUCUCUCUUUGAAUAGUCGUAGGGGUUCUUGCUGAAGCAUAAUCCAUCCACUUUGCAGAAGUGUGCAAAUAUUCAUAGCAAUGCCCAAAUUUAAAUGGUUCCCCUUCCACAGUUUGGUAGACUGAACGAGCAGUUGUCCACUAAAAAAAUAUAAUUUAAAAAAACUAAUUAAGAAAUAAACUAUUAGAAAAUAAACUAAUUAAGAAAUUAAAAAAACUAAUUAAGACAUUAAAGCCAAAAAUAUACCUUGUCUUCCUGAUUGGUUUCAGAUCUAUUGAUGCGGACUUCUCGAUUAAUAUGACAUAAAAAUUUUGUACAAUGCAGACUUAUUUUCACCCAUUUCGACAUAAUUGAGUCGAGCGACCUUUUUUUUGGAUUUCCAUUGGAGAGUAGAACAAAUUCUUCCAAAAUUUUAUCCCAAAAUGCAUGUUUGGGUUGACCAGCGCCGACGACAGCAUCUUCAGAAAUUUUUACCCAAGCUUUACAUAACGCAAUAUCUUCUGCUUUAGUAAAGUUAGACGUUCGUCGCGCCAUGCUUGAGAAACGAGUUCUGUUGUUGUAGUUGAGUUUUGAAGAAAAGAAUUCCGAUGAAAAAAAAAGAGGUCUGAUGAGGAAAAGAGUAUCGGAUGCAGAGUUUAUAUAGAACCUCGAAAUUAUAUCCGUUCGAGAUUAUAGCCGUUGAUAGAUUAUAGCCGUUGAUGGUAGCCGUUGUGAUGUAUCCGUUCGUUCCACGCUGGUUAAACUGGCGUGUAACAAAUAAAUUUGUUUUGAAAAGGUUCCACGCUGGUUUGACCUGCGUGGAAUAAAAAAAAAAAAAAAAAAAGGUUCCACGCCGGUUUGACCUGCGUGGAAUUAAAAAAAAAUAAAAAAAAAUUUUGCACGCUGGUUGAACCAGCGUGGAAUUAAAAUAAUAAUAAAAAAAAAGUUCCACGCUGGUUGAACCAGCGUGGAACAUUUUAUUUUAGCAAUUUCUAUAAUCCUAUCUUUGGUUCGAUUUUGGACGAAGUUUUAGCAGACCGGCCCACCACAUCCUACGUGGAUAGCCGGCUGCUAAAAUUAUAGACGACGCGUUAGGGAAUGUUUUUUUUCGGUAUUCCUAUAAUUUGGAUUAUAGCAGACCCAUUAGAGAUGCUCUUACUAAUAUAGAACCGUGAUAACAUAGAACCGUGAUAAGACCACGUUAGGGGAGGAGAGGAAGAGAAAAGAAAAGAAAAGAAAAAAAAACAGGGAUUUAAAAUAAAAACAGAAAAAGACGGUCACAGAAAAUUAAAAAGAAGUGGAAAAAAAAAAUUGAAAAUAAGUCAGACAGACAAAAAUAAAUCAAAAAAUCGGGGACAGACAUGAGUUUCAGUCUCACUCGACGCUUAAAGAACCUCCUAACGUCGGUCGAUUAUACACGAGGGAUUGGAGAAGACCAAAAUUUGCCAUAAAACUAUCCAUAUAAAAGUAAACAUUACUAUACACAUUUCGCUAUUUAGGCAUUAGAUUGGUUACUCUCUCUACACUUUUAGGUGUUAGAUCGGUUACUUUUUCUGACGAGGGAAAAAUAUCUCUGUGUAAUUUGUUCGAGGAUACCUAUGUAAAAUAGACUCCAAGUCCAAACACGAUACAACUUUGAACUGUUAUGAUUAUAAAAAAAAACUAAUAACUGGCUUUUAUUCUAUCUAAUAAUCUACUUUUCAUUCAAUCUAAUCUUGACAGAUUCAAACUCACAUGCUGUGUUUCUUUUUUUCAAAAUAUGUCAUGAUCAUGUUAAUGGACCAUGCCGAUUGAAUAAAUCGGUCCCAAUUACUAGCUAGCUAGUCACUCUUCUCUGUUUAUCAGCAAUCCACCUCUCUAUUUAUCAGCAAUCCAACAGAAAGACUUCAACAACACUCCUGCAGGUACAUAUUCUCAAGCUGUUCAACACAGAUGAGUAGUGAUAAUAGACUAAUUUCGAAUGAAACCAGGAAUCUGUAGGCUACAGUUUACCAUGAGCUAUGGUUCCAGAUAUCCAAAAUGUUGGCUAUAUGCCUAUGCUAAAUGUAUGUUUCUUGUCAGGAAAAAAAAUGUGCUGAUGUACAUAUGUGUGAUAAAUACAUCUUUUACGUUGUCGACUAAUAUUCCAUAUUAUUUGCCUAGGUCUCGUUUUCUGGGUACCACUACCUAACAUCAGGAUUGAAAUAUGACGUGAAUGUUAUCAAGCAGCUGCCCAACUCCCACACUGCAAACAUAUUGGUAUGUACAAGUACCACGAACCACCACAUCUCCGUAGCACCAUGUCAAAAUGUUGCCAUCGCCAUUCUAACUGCUAUCUUCUUUGGUCAUAUGAGCUGCUUUCCAGAGUUUGAGUGUUAUACUUGUUCUACUUGAAAAUGAAGGUGAUACUUUUCAAAGAAACGUGAUCUAUUAAUGACAGAGUUUUCUGUUGCGCAGAACAAACAAUAUUGGGUACCAAAAGAUAGACCAGCUUCUAUCCUUUCCUACAACAUAUGGCCUCUCCAUUCAAACUCUUUUCUUCCUCAGUCUCUGAAAAAGACUUCUUAUGACUGAUUUCUGAGUGAAACCAAACAUUUACCUGCAGACACGCUUACACAUUGGGCUGGACCGAGAUCGAUGUGGCCAUAUUAUAUGGUUUGAAAGAGAUAAUCCACAUACCGAUGUAGGAUUAUUGCUUUUGGUCCAUUAUAUGUUUACAUUUUCUCAUGGUGCAAAUGAAACCAAACUAACUGUAAACAUCUUGCACAUACAGUAUAUAUAUUUGUAAUUUACUUUCAUUUGAUUCGCUUUCAUGUCUUAUGUUGCAUUUUGAAUAUCAAGAAGUGACCUGUAUCCGACGUAGCUACUGUAUAUGUUUAUAUAAUGAAUGGAUAAUCUGAAUGAGCUGAAAUAGAGAUUAACUUGAAAAUUAAUUAUAUUGUAAUAUUUUGAUUAAGACUUGAUAGAAUAAGAAUAUGUAUGUCCUUAAACUUUCAAAAACUUGAACAUUUUUCUCUGCAUGAAUGAGUAACGAUCAAGAGACAUCCGCCGUAGUAUCCCAAGAACCUGUUGGAGCUACCUUACAGUCUGCUUGCUAAAAUGACAACAUAGCCAAUAACAAGAUCGAAUGCAGUGAGCAAUGUUUAUACCUUCAAUUCAAAAAAUAAUUGAAUAAUGAAACAACAUUAUUACGGCGACGAUACCUAAAUCUCUAAUAGUUUGAUGGGUGAUUACAGAUAGGAUUUGGUAUCUAAUACAAUUCCUUAUUUUGUCUCAAAUAAAUUUUGUUUAGGUAAAAGGUUUGCUAAUUGUGAUAUGCUGGCAAGGUCUUUCUUUUUGGGAGGUAGUGUUGUAUGUAUUAUUUUCCCUCCAUUUUAAAUAUAAGAGCAAUGAGGUGGUUGUUGAAGCAGAGAACAACACAACUAGUAAAACAUGACCAACACUCUGACUUGUGUUUUUCUAGUGUUUCUUUCUUGUGGAUUGGCUUUUGGUGCAAGAACGAAGCUCUUUUCGCUCAAUGGUCAGCAUGGAAAGUCUACAUUCACUCCAACUGAUGAUGCUGAUGGAAUUUGUGCAACGAGGGUAGCGAUAUAUGGAUACACAUGUGAAGAGCAUACGGUAACGAAGUAUCUUUUUCAUCCUUCUUUUAUCUGACUUGUAUGUUUUACUCGAUCAUGGGGCUUUUGGUUUACAUUAUUUGAUUAUAUUGUAGGUUACAACACCAGAUGGUUACAUUCUAAGUAUGCAGAGAAUUCCAACGGGAAUAUCAGGUGCCGCAGCAUCCAGGCCACCAGUUUUAUUACAGCAUGGAUUGCUUAUGGUAAUUACAAAUUAUAGAUUAUCACUCAUAUUUGUAAAUGGACUAAUGUAGUCUAUAGCUGAAGCUAAAGAUAGAUAACUGUUUGAUAUAAAUAUUAUCUUGUGUUAUCAGGAUGGAAUCACAUGGCUGUUGAAUGCUCCAGAUGAAUCCUUAGCAUUCAUCUUGGCAGACAAUGGGUUUGAUGUGUGGAUUGCUAAUACACGCGGAACCAGAUAUAGUCGUGGACACACAUCACUAAGCCCUGACGAUUCGGUAUUUUUCUUUUCCUCUGUCAUGAUCCUCUAAUAUGUGGUAUGUUUCUCUACAAUUGUGUUAAUGAUUCGUAAUUGUGUAGGUCUAUUGGGACUGGUCAUGGGAUGAAUUGGUGACUAAUGAGUUUCCAGCAACUCUCCAGUAUGUGCACGACCAGACUGGCCAGAACCUCCAUUAUGUUGGCCAUUCUCUGGUGAAUUUAUUUUUCCUUAGUAUGGUUUUGUCGUGUAUCUUUAUGUUCAAUAUGUUACUGAGGGUUCUGAGACUGUAUAUUUGCUAUGACUAGGGAACUUUGAUUCCUUUGGCCUCCUUCGCCCAAGGGAAGAAGCCUGACAUGUUGAUAUCAGCUGCGUUAAUGAGCCCAAUUGCAUAUCUGGGUCAAGUAUCAUCACCACUUGCUAAAGCUGCUGCUGAUAGUUUCCUAGCCGAAGUAAGAAAAAUGUGUUCAUAUCGAAAAUGUAGUCACACUUAACACACCAUGUACUGACUAUUUAACCUUGUAUGGCAGGACCUGUACUGGUUGGGUGUUAACGAGUUUGAUCCGAAAGGGUGAGAAAAAUAAAUAUUCGUUCUUGUUCAUAAUCUUAGUUGCGUUCUUCUUUUACUAGACAAUUUUGUUAGAAUCCUCUUUAAUACAAGGCGAAAUGAAAUUUAGUCGCAUAAAGAAGUAGAUUAGCCUUCUGACGUAAUUUUUCCGAACCGGUGGCAGGAUCGCUGUAUUAAAAUUACUCAAAUUAAUUUGCAAUAAACCAGGUGUCGACUGCUUCGACUUAAUGACUACUUUCACAGGUAAAACUUUUACCUUGACAGUUAGAGUUGAGACCAUCACAAGGAAACAGGAAAGCCCUUCUAUUUUCCUGCAACCUAACUCACUGUGUCUAACUGUUAUCUUAAGGUAAAAAUUGUUGCCUCAACUCUUCCAAUACUGAGGUUUUCCUUGCUAAUGAGCCGCAGUCGACGUCCACAAAGAACAUGGUUCACCUUGCCCAAAGUAAGUGUAUUAAGAUUUUAAUCUACUUGUCAGGAAAAAAAAAAUUGUGAAUCUUAUGUGUGUAAUUUGGUAACUGAUGAGUUUUGUGUUUGUGGAUUGAUGUAUAGUGAUGAGAGGAGGCACUAUAGCAAUGUAUGAUUAUGAAGAUAGUGAUGAUAACAUGAAACAUUAUGGGCAAACUACACCUCCUGUUUACAACAUGACAAGCAUUCCCAGCAGCAUUCCCCUGUUUCUAAGCUAUGGAGGUGAGGAUGCUCUCUCUGAUGCUAACGACGUGCAGAUCUUAUUGGGAAGUCUUAAGAAUCAUGAUGGACAUCAGUUCGUAGUUCAGUACCAGUAUAACUAUGCCCAUGCAGAUUUUGUAAUGGGGGUGAACGCAAACCAGAUUGUUUAUGAUCCACUCAUGGCCUUCUUCAAUAGUCAAUGAAAUUGGUGGUUUCUCUUAUUCUCCAUCAGCAAUCGAUCAAUUGCCUUGGAUGUUUAUAUUUCUUCAUCAUAUGCGUUAACUGGUAAACUUGCAGUUGGAUUAAGGCGAAAAGUUAAAAUUUAUUUUUGCAAUACAUUUUCUUAGCAGUCUAACUUUCUCCAAAAUUUUGCAUUGGAUGGAAAAGUUGUGUGCGCGCAUUUGAUCACAAUGUUUCCUCUGUUGUUGUUUUUCAAUAAUCAUGUUUCCUCUGUUGUUGCUCAGUGAUAAUCAGAUUACAAUAGACUGAUCUUUCCGAAUUGAUGUUUCAAAAUUCUAUAUAGUUCAGAUUUUCAUUGAAAGCAAUACAAUUAGGUUCAGGUUCAGGUUGUGGAAUAUAACACAACAUAACAAUCCUGGCAAAAGAACGACAAUCUUCGAGAUGACAAACUGAUGAUAUAUUAUUGUUAUUGAUGGGAUGUAAUUAUGUAUAUGUAUCAUAUGGUCUUGACAAAUUCCUAAAACAGAGAAAAAAAAAAGCUUGGCUUGCACCUUAAUUGAAAUAGCGAGGAGGAACAAUAGCAUUCAAAAUGUUUUAGAAAAAAAAAUACAUUGAAAAAGACAAAGGGGGUUAGAUAUAGAUGUUUGGCCUGAGACUGAAAUGAUUUUGAGCUAGAAUAUAAGUAGCCAAAACAGGAUCAUCCUCACCACCUUCACAUUUCCCUGAUUUCUUGAAGAGUUCAUCACAAUGAACAGCUUGCAGAGAAGAAGGAAGUGCCGACUGAUCAUUGUUCUUCCUAAAAGAAGUGAUCAUCUUCUUCCCAUACUUGAUGAGCUUCUCCAACUUCAUAUGUUUCGCUCCAGUGUGCCCCAUUCUCAAUACUCUUGUGUCCUUCAUGUGUAUGUUGCUGCAAGGGGUUGAUAUAAGAGGUAGGGUGCAUGGUUUUGAAUCACAUGGAUUAUGUGAAAGCUAAUGAGGCUUUUUUUCAGAUAUUCAAUGUAUAUGCUAUUUUUAUUAAGCAUUUGUCGUCAAGCUUCUUUGAUUCAAUCAAAAAAAUUUAUAUAUUUUUUUUCUGCUUUAGAAACUUUCUGUUACAAAUAAGAACUGCUUAAAAAGAGUAAAUGGCUGAGAUUGGUUUUGGCAGUUUCAUAGUCUUUUGUCUUUACACCAAAAGUGGUUUAGACUUUUUUGUCUCUAAACUAAAAGUGAUGAACUUAGAUGAUAGCCUAAUAGGUACACAAUGGAAAUCAACAUUCCUUGUCAAGAGCAACUAAAAUAAAUGACUUAGAGACAAUUCUCUGAGCAAUGCACCUUAUGAGUUCCGAAUUGUAAUAAACUGUUGACUAAAAGACACUAUUGUUUGUUAGUAAUAAAUACAAGCUCGCCACUUCUAGCAAAGUGUAACCUAUCAGUACAAUAUCGCUUGGACUCUUAGAGCACAAAAAUGUCUGCAACUUGCAAAAUGUGUUGCCUACUUGCAUUUUCCUUAACAAAUAAUGUACUGCGGGUAAUGAUACUCGUAUAUUAACAAUGUUUCAAAUUAGCAAGACUUGAACAAAUAUUACAUAGGCAUGAAGCAAAUCAAAAUUCUGGACCUCCCACUUUCUCCAUCCUGAACUGUUUCUACUGUUUGAGUUCUUCUCUCAUUUUCUAUUUAGGGUUUUCACUUCACACUAUUUUGUUUAACUCAAUUAUGUUAAAUAAGGUGAAUAACACAGUAAGACAAAUAUAAAAGGUACAAAAAUUAUUGUCCAAUUUAGCAAAGCACCGUCUUUCACAUUUUAUAGUUUUGAUUCUGGUUGAAUCAUCUAUGAAUAUGACCUUUUCUUCCUUCAUAAUGGAGUCGAUUCACUUCAAGCUAACAUUAACCAUUGAGAUUUCUACAGUUUAAUUCCAUAAACUUCUAUAUACAGAGAAUGAAACUGCUUGAAUAAAAUUUUCAUUUCUCUAAGGUUCUUUCUACUUAUUAAGUCACAACAACUGAACAGACAAAACUAGAGAAAUAAAGCCAUCUAAGAGAACAAAAGCACCAUAUCAACAGAAAAAUCCUUAACACUAUAUACAACAAAAUUUGUGUAUCAGAUAUACAAUGAAAUUUAAAAAUGGUUUUUACGUACCUAUUCAUCAGUCUCCAUUCUUCUAAUGGGUAGCGGAAUGAGAUGAUCUUCUUGGAGUAGAUUUGGAGGAAACGAAGCCUGACAAUUGUUAAUAUGAGAUUUGAGGCGGGGGAUGUUAGGAUGUGCACUUCUACAACGGUGGCACCGCAGCUCCAUGGACAUUAGCUUCUCAUCACUGUUCAACUUUGCCUUCCCAUCUUUACUGAUUUCAUCAAUUACAUCCACUGAAUCGCGGAAGAAAGCAGUGUUAAACGAAUUCCAGUGCUUCUUGUUUUUUAAGUGUGUUGAGUUGAAAUCCUGACUAAUAACAUGAAGGUGUAGUUGCCGCAAUGAUGGAACCUGCAAGAGUAGCAUAUUAAAUCCUUGAAAUGGGUAUGGCCAAUAGUCUGAUAUUAUUAUACAUGUUUUUAAUUUGAUGGUAUCUAAAUUGAUUGGAACUUCAACACAGACUCAAAAAUUUGACUGACAAGUAAUGUUACUACUAUCAUUGUAUAAUCUGUAGAAUUAUAACCCAUACAUACAGAAUGGUAUCCAAGGCGAAAGAUCAAUGAAGCAUCGUCUGAUGAGAACUGCUUAGCCCACUUCUCACCCACAGCAUGCAUAUUUCUCAAUAGCUGAAGGUGUUCUUCCCCUACAUCAGCAAGAUGAUCAAGUCCGUCUGUUCUUGCUAACACCAAAAGGUGCUUUCUUGCCUGCAUAGAAGAUGGAGCAACAUUUUUAUCAAGUUUAUGAACCAAGAGUCCAAGAUCGGGUGACCAGAAAAAUGAAUGGAAAAAAUACAAUCCUGGAUGAAGACAAAGCUUACCUUAGGGUAAAGGUCAUUCAGAACAACCACAUCAUCCAAUAUUUCAAUGACGUCGUUUUUGUGCUUUUCGGGAUUGAGAGCAAUAUGAUGAAGAGCUUGAGCCCAUGAACCCCAGCUCUUGGAUAUUUUACCACCAAUUUUUUCUUUCUUGAAGGGUGUAUUUUUCUUUGUAGCUUGAGUGGGAUCAGACACGCUUGCAUUGUCAUUUAAUUUUGAUACAUGGUGAGUGCCAAGUGCAAUUUCAAGUCCCUUGCAUUUCUUAUUUCUCUCAGACUCAUAGGUAUCCUCUCGCUUAGUCUUCUGAUCGUUAUUUGGAAAAUCAUUAGUAGAGCGCCUUUCUAAGAGAACUUGGUCCAACUCCAGAGGCCGUGCCACAGAUUGUUCAUCACCGCCUUUCUCUAUGGUUUGUUGGGUCUGCGCUAUAGAUGCAAAAUCUUCAAAAAGUGAUGAGUAAGCCUUCCGGAGAACAUUGCAACCUUUACUAUAAUCAUUGUUAAGAAAAUUUGGUCUGUUGGGAUUCAUGUUUGGUCCUAGAAUGUGUAUGACAUGAGUCACCCCUUCUUUUUCAUACAGCGGAGAGGAUAAAGGAAGAGGUACAACCAAAGAACUCCCUGGGUUUAGAGAUGCAGCACGUUCCUCAGUUGCAGUCUCUAAGGCUGGACCUGCGGCUUUGAAUAUAGCUGCAUUCACUCCACCACCACCUGGUUUCAAUCGCCUGCACAUGGUUGUAUUAAAAUCUUCACAGACUGAAACACAAAUAUAUAAGCAUUUCUUCCUUCCUCAAAUACAAAAUUACAGAAUUAAUAAAGAAAUAAUUUCCGAUGUUUGUAAUUUAAAAACUCAAGAAUCAUGACCACACACAUAAGUUUGUCAAAACCCACAAGACAACUUUCUACCAAAUCUUAGUGAAGAAUAUUCAUACCAGACAUUUCUUGAAAGUAUAUAAUUUUUAUCUGCAAAAAGAACCAAUGCGUGAUAGGUGAUCAAAGUAUUCUAUAUGAAGUAGUUAAAGCUCAAGAUAUUCUUGAAAAGUAUUCUAUAUAAAAUAGUUAAUGCUCAAAAUAUCCUUCACAAAACUCACUGGUAAUGACAUUAAACGCGCUAAGUUCAAAGAUAGAGGUCUGUGUUCCCAACCUAUGCAACUGUAUCAAUGAUCAGCCAAUUCUAGGUCCAGGUACUAAGACAUCAUUUAUAGAGACAUCCAUGAUUAGUGAGAUCACUAACUUCAAGCAAACAAAUAAACCUCAUAGAAUCGUGACUAUGACUUCAUCAUGAUUCCAUUAUUCCAGACGAGAAGACUCCCAGCUAAAAGGUCUCCAAACAAAUAUAUCCCUUUAGCAACAUAUUUAUAUUAACUAAGAAAGAAUACAAAUAGUUCUUAUCAAAGGUUACCAGUUGGCAGCAUUGGCAAUUACAUUACAGCAUAAACCACCUUGAGUAUAAAGCUGAGUUAUAUCUCCCACAAAAGUGAAGAACUUCUUUGAGUCAAUAUUAGCCUGUGAUGCCUUAGCCUUAACCAAAUUCAAAAUUUUUGAUCGAUGAGUCAGGUCUACCAGAACAAGUCUGACGUUCUCAACAUUUUUCAGAAAUUUUUCAACUUCUUCAACAAUUAUAUCAGAUGCCUUCUCCAAGUUGAACUGAAAAUCAGAAGUUGAAAUGGAUGGAAAUGCGAGAGUAGAAACUGCAGGAACAGAUGAGUACAUUGGCAAGUCUUCUUCUUCUUUUACUUCUUUGUUAACAUUAUCAAUUGAUGGAGUAAUAUUUAUACUUUCAUCGACAGAGGAACCUUUAGUUUCUUCAAAAGCAACAGAAUGGUGAGAGUUAUCCACCUUUGACUCUUUGGUACUAGAGUCUUCGGCUUUCUUUAGAAAUUUCAUGAUUCCUUGUUGAACCUUAGCAUCUGGGUUUUUCUGACCAAAACAUCCAGAUGGAAGGGUUUCUUUUGCACCAAGUCCAGUGUACAUAUCAAGAGCACCUUGAACAUCACUAUCAUUUUGGCAAAAUGUGAUUCGAGAAAACCCUUCACUCAGUUUUGGUAGUUCCUUCUUUUGCAGCAUUUUGUUCACAACAGCUGCAGCUCUUCCACCUUGCAAGUUUCCUUCAUGACCAGUUCUCUUUACUGACCGAGAAAUACAAAUACGAGCAGGAAGAUCAAGCACAACAGCAUGAACAUCCACUUCACGUCCCCCAAGCUUCACAAACUCAGAACGCUGUUCUCGUUCUAAAUUGCAUCUAUCAAUAAAUACACUUUUCCCAUCCUUCAAUCCGUCAACUGCCCGCUUUAUACACUGGGCUUUUGUCCCAGCUUUUCCAUUUGCAAUAGUAUCCUAUAAAUCAAACAAAAUUGAAAAGUAAGAACAUGUAAAUAACAUUCUUCUUAUCAUCAACUCCAAAAAAACCGUCUGGGAUUGGUCUCAGUCUAUACUCCUAGGGGGUUCCAGAACAAAAUUUUACAUGAUCGUAACUGCAUAUACAUUCAAACUUCACUUAAGCAGAGCCUUAAUGCUAAUUACUUAAUGGAUUGGUGCACCAAAGUUUACAAACGAGGAUACAUGAAGAUCAUGGUGCGAUCAGACUCAAGCUAUGCAGUUGAGUGUGUGAAAGGAAACUACAGGCUAACAUGGAGAGCACAGAGAAGAAUCAAUGCAGCACAGAAGACCAUUGAAGACUUUGAGACUGUAAUGUUAGUGCACAUCUACAGGGAGAUUAAUCGAUGUGCAGAUUACCUUGCUUCUUUUUUGUAAUAGGGAUGAGCCCCUAAGUGUCCUUACAGGACCAUUCCCCGUGCUAGAGAGGAAAUGUGCUUAAAGGUGUAAAACAUUUUUUAUCUAUAAACUGGAAGGGGUCCGGUCUGCAUAACACGAGCUUGCUUUUGCAGGGAAAAAAAUAAAUUAGAAACGACAACUAUCCAAGCAACAAAUAUGUCAGGUAGGGAGUAAUACAAGUGACUUAGAAUCCCAAAUAAACCAAUUUAAAGCAUCCAAGUACAACAUUCAAACACACAAGCAAAGCAACUGAUAUUAAUCAAACCAUUCUCUUUGGACUUUUUCUACUCUACCGGUAUACCAUUAUCAAAGUGCUAAGUAACCCAUCACAUAACUCUAUGAACCAAGUGAGAUAUUUCAUCAAACAUGUUCUGAUCACUGAAACAAAUACACAAAACAAACCUGACAAACUCGAACCCAAGUUCGGUUAGAAGAUUUCAUGACAUUCUCACAAAAGGUAGACUUCCCACUACCUGGAGCACCCAUCAAGAUUACAACAAUACUCUUUCCAUUCAUCUCUUCUUUCGUUUCUUCUUCUUCUUCUACAAAAUUUGAUUAAAAGAACACAAAUCAAUAACUGGGUCAAUAUUGCAAUUGUCCGAUUCAUCAUUCAAUAACUCAUUAAACAAACUCUUUGUUACAUACAUACCUUUGGAGACCAAUUUCGCCAUUUUCUUCUUCGUUUGGAAACUGUGAUGACUCAGUUUUAGGUUCAAUGGAAACCGGGUAAGAAACGAACCUACUGUUCAUUAAUAAAGCCCAAUACUAUUUUUAGUCUCUAUGUCCAAACCAUAAAGCCCAUAAAAAACAGUUUUCAAUAAGUUUACCCCAAAACGAUGAGGGCACUGUGCUCACUGUUAACAUUACCCACUCUUGUUUCUGCUGAAGAUAAAAAAUGUCUGUUAGAACAUUUGCAUAGCUGUAGCUAUCAAAAAGAGGAGACAAGUUCGUUCUGCUUCUUAUUCUUCUUCUGCAGCUCAAAGACGAAAGAUGAGGUAACGCUGUUUUCGAUUAUCGGAAAUGCAUCCUUCUCAUUUCGAAGAGAGAUCUUGGGAUCAAAACUAUAGGGGUUUUGUAGGGGUACAACAUACAACAUACAUGUGGCACCAUCUCUACCGUCCAUCAUGGUGCCACAUGUCAUCAUCUAAUGGGUUUUCUCUUGAUGGCACAAGUUAAAAAGUUAAACCCAAUUAUUACAAAGAUAUUCUCUCAUCAUUACCUCAUUAAAUGCUAUGAAUGGAGUUACAUUGUAAGCCUAUAAAUAUGAAGACAAAUCACUCAUUCCUCUCAUCUUCUCAUAGUAUAAUGUUCUCAACACUAUCUCAUGGUGAGGUCUCAUGAUCAACGACCUCCCCAAUCUCUCAUAAUGAGACUUCAGCUCUCAGGUCUCAUCUCUCGAGCUCUCCUCAUAAUCGAGCUCCCUUUUUGUAUCACCACCACUACUAUAAUAAACUUCUCUCUCUCCGUAGAUGUAGGCACAGUUGUCGAACCACGUAUACAAUGGUGUUCAUGUCUCUACUUUAUUUCUUAUCAUGUCAUUACAUAUAUUCAUCUUUCAUUAAUGUAUUGACCAACCUCACAAAAAUGAUUAAUACAGGUUUUUUUCUCUACUCUCACCCAUUAAAGAAAAAAUGUUUGGUACAAAUAAGUGUAUCUUCCCAUGCAUUAUUAUCAACAUUAACAACAAAUGUAGAUACUCCAGUCAAAUGGUUUGAGUAUAGUAAAGCCACCCUCUCCAGUCAGUCCUCCACUGCUCCACAUGCUUUCAAAUCUCAACAUAAAUGAGUCAAACCAUAGAAAUGGAGUUCCCUCCCAAAUACGUUAGAACUAAAGGCAAUACCCAAAGAAGGUAUUAUCAUUACGAUCAUGACUCAUCAUGAGUACUCCAAAGGUCCUACUAAUAACUCCAUCUCUAACCCUAAACUCAUGGCAAUUUUGCCUUUUGAUAACAGUGAGUAUCAUUCUUAUAUAAUCUAUCCAUAUCUUUUGAACCUUACAGACAUGCAUCCCUAUUAGAAAAGGUUCAUAUAUGUCGAUAUGUGGAUGUUCCAUUAACCUUCCCUUCCCUACAAAUUAUAUAUCUCUAAUGUACACCUGCAUCGCUGCAUGACCCCUUAAGCAAAUUGCCUACAUUUAUAUGUACAACAAUCUUCCCAACAACCAAAAUUGAAUGCAAACAUAACAUUAUUGCGAAUUGCCGAUAAAAAAAAAAAAAAAAGGAGGCAAGGACGAGAAAUUGUACAUUAUAAGAAUCAUGCAGUAUUGGUAAUAUCCAUUGGUGGAAAAAAGAUUAGAAGAAAGCUAGCCUUUUAACCUAAACUAACUCUAAGAUCUACAAAGUAAUUUUAAUAAUUAAUUAUGCUCAGAUUAGAAAACAAAGAACAAAGUGAAAGUUCAGAAUGAAAGUAAAUAGAUAUAUAUACUCCCUUUAUCUUUUCUCUUUAACUUUUCUUUUUAAAGUCACCUUCAUUUCUCUUGAAAAUAAAUUUUACAGUAACUCAAUUACUCAAAGACAACCAAAAUGUUCAUCAAAAUAUAUAUAGUAAUGCACCUCUAGGUGAUAAUGUGAUAUUGUAAGAAGGCAUAUACUGUAUAUAGAAGAAGAAAAAAUUAAUCCAAGCUAAAACAUGACUAUAAUUAGAUCAAAGUGUUCAAUCAAUCACAUUUACCUGUACAACAUGGUCGGUGGAAAUGCAAUGGACCCUGUGCCAUAAUAGCUAGGUGUUGCCCUGUAUGUCAAGUACCUUGACUCACACUCCCGGCAAGGAGUACUCUACCGACGUACUAAGAUAUUAACGCAGUUUUCUGCGUCUAAUCACAUAAUUUAUGAAAAAACAGUUGGCCAAUCCUUGGUUCAAAAAUUACAGAAUGGUUUAACAUGAAUACAGUAGUUCAAAGUAUUGAAAGUAUGAGCAUUUCUACAUUAAGCUCUGAAAUUUCAAAGUGGAAAAUGAGAAAAGUGAGAAAUUAAAGAAUGUCUAUUUGUAAUCUUGACUGACAAAUUAGUGCUACCUAACAUGAUUUAUUUUUAGGAAAGCAACCUCUCCUAGGCAGCUUUAGUGCCAGCCAAGCUCUCAAGAUCUCACCUACAAAUACAAAAGUUACAAGCACUAAACAUCUAAGGUGGUAAAAUGGUGAAUCAAAAGAAAAAUGGAAAAAGAUCGAAGUCUUAAAUGACAGGAAUAACCUUAUCUAGAUGACUAGCUUCAUGUUUUUGGCAUUUUGAAUUAAGAUGCAGGGGUAGUCUCAUGAUGAAGAUGCCUUGACACAGAAGCAAUAUCAUGCAUAUAAGAGAGGAAGAUCUAGCAUUUCUAUUUAAUUCCAUCUAACUUAUUCAAUUCAUAUUCACUGAAACCACAUAAGAAUGUUGAGCGAUGAAGACGAUCCUGACUUUAUUGCCAUUAAAGAAAAGCUCAAAACUUCAUUACAGAGACUUUUUUACCUGGAGAAGGAGAAUGAGCAACUGAAAGAAGAAGUGGCACAGCUGAAAGCUAAAGUCCGCUCCAACAAAAUCGCGCAAAACAUAGGAAAACAUUCAGUACUCCUUCGAAAGAAGCUGAUAACUGGAAAUAACAUAGGUACAGAUUACCAGAAACAGAUAGUUGAAUCCCAAAUUUCAGAGGACUGUCCAGCAGUUGAGAAACUAAUUUGCAGGCCAGAUCCUCCAGAAACUACACAAAAGAUGGAAGAACAAACUCUUGUACCAAAGCCACCUCCAAGGCCAAUACCAGAUUUAUCUGUGAAGGAGAAUGAAAGGAAUGGAAGGCCUGCUAUAGGACCUCCACCGCCACCACCCCCACCACCACCAUCAAAAUUCUCAGCUGGUUCUGCCAAUGUGGUCCGGCGUGUACCAGGAGUAAUGGAAUUUUAUCAUUCACUAACCAGGAAGGAUUCAAGGAUAGACAGCAAUACCAGCAUUGCAGGAGUUCAAAUUGCCGCAAAUGCUAGGAACAUGAUAGGAGAAAUAGAGAACCGUUCUAGAUAUCUUAUGGCUGUAAGUAUAAUGCUUUAUUUUCUGGGGGUUCUGAGUUUCAAAAUUUCAUGUAUUUCAUUGAUACCUUAUAUGCCGGAGAACUAACCACAAAAAGUGUACUUCUGAACAGAUAAAGUCAGACGUUGAAACACAAGGGGACUUAAUUAGGUUUCUAACAAAAGAAGUAGUGAAUGCAACCUUUAAGGACAUUGCAGAUGUAGAGGCACUUGUUAAAUGGCUAGAUAGAGAAUUGUCCUAUCUAGUAGAUGAGAGAGCUGUGCUCAAACAUUUUCCUGAGUGGCCUGAGCAGAAAGCAGAUGCAAUGAGGGAAGCUGCUUUCAGCUACCGCGAUCUGUUCAAUCUUAAAUCUGAAGUUGCAUCCUUCAAAGACAACCCUAAAGAACCCCUCUCACUUGCUCUAAAAAGGAUGCAGGCAUUACAAGACAGGUAACAAUAAGAAGUUAACUAGUGUGAUAGCUAUAAUAUCAAUGGAAACUAUGUGACAUAAACAAUUGCAGGUUGGAGCGUAGCGUUCAUAAUAUACAGAGGACGAGGGAUAGUGUGAGCAAGAGAUACAGGGGAUUUCAGAUUCCCUGCGAGUGGAUGCUAGAGACUGGAAUGAUCAGUCAGGCAAGUAGUAUUAUGUAAUUACACAUUUCAUCAGAGUAUACUGGGAUCACAUCACAAACUUUUAAUAUACACACACACAGAUCCUGAAUAAAACCAUCAUAACAAUAUACAGUAAUCUGAUUUUCAUACUUCAUUUUGCCUCUUUCAAUUGAACAUAAUUUCUGACAAUGCAACACAAAACGAGAAUUCCUAGAGCAUGUAAAAUCCCUGAUUGAACGCCACUAGAAUCAAAUUUCAAGUGUAUAACAUUGGCCAUUUACGUAGAUUUUCUUUGUCAACAGUUAAAAUUGAGUUCAGUGAGACUGGUCAAGGAAUACAUGAGACGAGUAACUUCUGAGUUGCAUGCCAAGGAACCCACGCAAAGGGAAGAUCUCAUACUUCAAGGUGCCCGGUUUGCAUUCCGAGUGCAUCAGGUCAGUUUCUUUCAUGUCCUACACAUUCUCUUCUAUUGCUCCUUACUGAUAUGUUGAUUUUGCACAUCUAGUUUGCUGGUGGAUUUGACACAGAGGCCAUCCAUGCAUUUGAAGAGCUAAGGAAGAUUGAUACAGGACAAAAUGAACAGCUACAGCAUCAUAUUAUUAGCACAAAAAUGCUCUGUUAAUAGCCAAGCUGGUUGACAAUAGCAAAGUUGAUCUCUGGACUGCAAAACUUAUUAAUGCAAGGUUGUAAAAGUUUCUAGAACUAGAGCAGUUCAUGUAUUGAUUCUAAUUAUACUAUAGAGCACUAAGAAUGCUCUCAAUUUUUAUAGAGCACUCUCAAAAUGAAAACAUGAUACAAAGUACCUAUUAUAGGAACUUGGAGGCAAUACAUCUGGUUGGUAAAACUUGACCUCAAAUUUUAAUUUUUACGGGAAGAAGAGGACUAUUGUUAUUGCCCUGGCUUAGAACAUUGGUACUUUCAGCAUUGGUGUCAAUCAAAAAUCUAGACCCACCAUCUGGGUAUUGUUUACAUCCAUCCGGUUGCUGUUAAUGCAAUGGCACAGUUCAAAAGCAACCCCUAAUUCUCAAUUCCAGGGCACAUUGGAAACCCAAGGGCAUCUGGGAUCUAAAGGCACCUGUUACCUGGACUUUAUCCCAAUGGUUCAAUUGGAGGAGACUUGAAUCAAGCUCAAACAUCUAGCAAUGCAAUCACUCCUAUGAGGAUUCAGGAAUCAGUGAGAAGCAACACUUGCAAAAAAAUUUGCACCAAAUUACUUGAGCACACAAUACAUACACACUAGCACCUUGAAAAAUGAAGACCACUGGUAUGGUAAUUAAGCAAGCGGAGCAUGAACAGAGAACACCAGUAUCAGAAAUUGGUCUGUGAAUGGGUUAAUCUACUCACCCCUUGAUGACUGGCAGAACUGUGGGUAGAAGUUACAGUUUUAUUUCUAUCCCUUCUUCUGUAACUCAUUGUAAUUUUUACCCAGUGCUUGUGAAGCAGUUUUCACAACCUGAGAUGUAAUUUUUACCCAGUGCUUGUGAAGCAGUUUUCACAACCAGUGAUCAAUAAGGUGCUAUUUAACCAAAAAAAAAAAAAGAGAGAGAAAAACAUAGCACUACACGCACACCCCAUAAAUUUCUGCCCAGUACAUACUUUCCUGUUGUACCUACAAACACUAUCUCUCGAACUCUUCAUUCAUAAAAAUGAUUCAGAAUUCUAACAAGUAAAAUAAGUCUUGAGGUUAUGCAAACACAAUCUCUCCAACUCUUCAUUCAUAAAAAAGAUUCAGAUUGCAAACCCGCAAACCCGAUAGUUUGCUCCUUUUUGACACUGUACAGAUCUUGAGUACACCAAUAAUCCCUCAAGGCACACACACCAAUAAUCCCUCAAGACAUCACUUCAAAAACUCACCAACAAGAACUUAUUUUGCAACUAGUAGUUGAGUGACUGAGUGAGGUAGAACAAAUCCCAACCGGUUCACAAACAUUAUCUCCUUUUCAGCUUGACUGAAAGAAUUACACAUUUGGGGGAAAACUGCCUUAACAUAAACCUAAUACCAUGGAAGAUAGAAGUACAACAAUGCAAGUCCAAUUUUCCCAUUAUUCCUAAUCUAUUUCAACACAUACAAUGAAUUAGUAAUACAACAAAAAUUGAAUACACUCCCACAUUUUCAGAUUACAAUAACACUAAUACUCAGAAUAAUCACUCACAUUUUAUAUAUGAGAACAAAACAGACAAGAUCAUUUAUGUUGCAAGUUCCAAAUUCCAAUGUUAAGAUAUAGAAGUUGGGGGUCAGCCUCCCUAGAGGUUGUAAGGUAGGUCAAUCUAAAUCCCAACACCCCUAACAAAUUUCUUCCCAAGUGACCUUAAUAUAUGGAACUACCAUACUAAAACAAGAAGAAAUAAACACUUUUAGACAACAGGCUAACCUAAUCAUUCCUACAACAAAGCAAGAUCAAUAUUUGAUGUUUCUUAAAUAGCAUUUCAAUUCUGUUCUCGCCAGAAUUAUAACUAAAGUGAACACUGGUUCAUAAACACCUAUCUGACCAACUCAGGAGCACAAAAGUUAUAUAUAUCUAAACCACAUGGUCUCCAUCUUUCGCAUCACAUAAACACAAUCAACCAAUAAAAUAAUCUAUCACUAACACAUCCAAAGAUUCCAAUAAAUAACAACAAAACUAAUUCUAAUAACAAACACAAUUAUAAGAAAAUAAACCAAGUCUACCAUUGCCAGUAAUAGGGUUUAUGACAAUAAUUUAAAACAAAACCAAAAUAAACAGAUUAAAACACCAUAGCUAAACAAGCCAUUGCGUUAAUAAAUCCUCACUAAUACGAAAAGUUCAACAGAAAUAAAAUCAACACGAAAAUUAAAAGACUCCAGCUUUGAUAACCGAGAGCACCACCAUCAUCAUCAGCUCUACUUGGAUCUCUGUCUCAUCUUUCGACGCUUUCUCUUCAACCUCCUCAUACGCUUCUUCUUCCACUACACAUACACAAAAACCAAAACAAAUUACUUUCAAUUCAAAUCAAAAUCAAAAUCAAAAACAAUAACAUUCAAAAGAAUCUAACAAAUCAAUCAAUCGAUCAUGAACAUGAAGAAGAUGUUUACCUUGGCCCUCAUGACGGUGAGAUUGUUGAUGAAACCCUAAACCCUAAACGACGGCUGAAGGGAGAGAUGGAGAAGAUGUGAAUGCGAUGGAUUUCUUUAAAUAAAAACAACCCUAGAUGACCUAUUUAUGUUGAGCCAGAUUUUUAUGGAUCUCAAAUGGGCCAGGCUUGUAGCCUACAAAAUUU
rnacentral:lncRNA from 1 species